ensembl:lncRNA
AUGAUCUUAGAGCACAAACAGUCUGAAUACUGAUCAGCCGACACACACACACACACACACAACAGUGCUGCGCUGAAUUAGAAACGUUUCCUGCUCAAACAGAAAGAUUCAAUUAUCUUAUUAGUUUUCAUUAAUACAAACCUUGACUUCUAAUUGUGUGUGUGUUUGUGUGGGGGGUUGAGAGAGAAACAUUUAGUCACAUCUUCAUUAGCACACUACAGUCACUCAUCAAAAACAAACAACUCACAAGCUCAAAGCACUGAAGUCUUGGAAAACUUACAAUGCACUUCCCAUCCCCUGAACUCCUGAAAAAACUUGGCUGACAACACUCCCGACAUCAGUUCCGGGUCUGUUAAACUAACUGCUUUCAAAUGAGCUAUUAUAGUGAGCCAAGAAAGAGCUCAAAUAGUUUUUUUUUAUUAUUAUUUUUUUGUACGGUAAUCUGUUUUGGGUGAUUUGAUCACAAGUUGAUUAGAUCUGAUAUGGGUGCAAAUGGGGUCCACUGUGUCUUGCGAUUGAUCACUCAAACCACAUUUGAGGUUCUCAGGAUGUUUGAUCAUGUUUCUUUAUUCACUGCAGAAUAAGCCUUGUAAGCCCAGUCCUGACGAAGCUCUGUGCAGCCUGAAGCUGGAACUCCGGAUGCGAUUCAGGAAAUCAAGGCUACCGGAUCUUCACUGAUGCUUCAGGAAAUUUGGAGUUCAACGUGGGAUUCACAAAACACUUGUUCUUGAAAGAUGGCUUAGUACCCAGUUUAUUUGGACCAGAUUGCUGCACUGAAUCACAACCUGUAAGUGUGAUAAAUAAUAGAUCUUUGUAUUUUAUAUUGAGCAUUCAGAAUACAGAACUAUGGCAAUGGGCGUAUCGUUUCCGAAACACCCUGUAAACGGUAGACCAAUCACAACAGACUGGGUCAUCUGACCAAUCAGAGCAGAGUAGGCUCAUGGAAAGGAGGGGGUUAGAGAGACUGAAUCUUAGAACUGCUUUGAACAAAUAAUUUGAGAAUUACUGGAAAAUGAAGUGAUAUUAAAUGCAUAAUUUGAGAAACCAGAAUUGUUUUUUUGAACUUGCAUGCAUGUAAACCUAUUGUAGAAGACUCCUAAAACAAUAUUAGGAACCUUAAAAUGGCAUAAUAGGGGCACUUUAAAUUGUAAUAAUACUAAUAACAAUAUUACUGUUUUGACUGUAUUUUUUGAUCAAAUAAAUGCUCUCUUUGUGAGCA